GAUCAUUAAAUUCAGUAGCUUGCUACUGUUAGGGGGGUCUAUUAGUCUGUAUAGUAUCAUUACUGAUGAGCAGCACGACCCUCUGUCUAUACCCUUGUCUUUUGCGCACUCAUGUUUCCUCGGCGGCUUGAUACCCGCCGGCUGGAUCAAUCUAUAACCUUUUUAAUUUUCAAUCAGCGUCUGAAAAACCUAAUAAUUACAACUUUCAACAACGGAUCUCUUGGUUCUGGCAUCGAUGAAGAACGCAGCGAAAUGCGAUAAGUAGUGUGAAUUGCAGAAUUCAGUGAAUCAUCGAAUCUUUGAACGCACAUUGCGCCCCUUGGUAUUCCAUGGGGCAUGCCUGUUCGAGCGUCAUUUGUACCCUCAAGCUGUGCUUGGUGUUGGGUGUUUGUCCACUAUCAUGGACUCACCUUAAAGUCAUUGGCAGCCAGUGUUUUGGUAUUGAAGCGCAGCACAUUUUGCGCCUCUAGCCUAGAACACUAGCGUCCAGUAAGCCUUUUUCCACUUUUGACCUCGGAUCAGGUAGGGAUACCCGCUGA
rnacentral:rRNA from 1 species